AUUGAACGCUGGCGGCAGGCCUAACACAUGCAAGUCGAGCGAGCGGCGGACGGGUGAGUAAUGUCUGGGAAACUGCCUGAUGGAGGGGGAUACCUACUGGAAACGGUAGCUAAUACCGCAUACCAUCAGAUGUGCCCAGAUGGGAUUAGCUAGUAGGUGGGGUAAUGGCUCACCUAGGCGACGAUCCCUAGCUGGUCGGAGAGGAUGACCAGCCACACUGGAACUGAGACACGGUCCAGACUCCUACGGGAGGCAGCAGUGGGGAAUAUUGCACAAUGGGCGCAAGCCUGAUGCAGCCAUGCCGCGUGUAUGAAGAAGGCCUUCGGGUUGUAAAGUACUUUCAGCGGGGAGGCGUUACCCGCAGAAGAAGCACCGGCUAACUCCGUGCCAGCAGCCGCGGUAAUUC
rnacentral:rRNA from 1 species